UCGGGAAUAUUGCGCAAUGGAGGAAACUCUGACGCAGUGACGCCGCGUGCAGGAAGAAGGUUUUCGGAUUGUAAACUGCUUUAGACAGGGAAGAAAAAAUGACAGUACCUGUAGAAUAAGCUCCGGCUAACUACGUGCCAGCAGCCGCGGUAAUACGUAGGGAGCGAGCGUUAUCCGGAUUUAUUGGGUGUAAAGGGUGCGUAGACGGGAAGAUAAGUUAGUUGUGAAAUCCCUCGGCUCAACUGAGGAACUGCAACUAAAACUGUCAUUCUUGAGUACUGGAGAGGAAAGUGGAAUUCCUAGUGUAGCGGUGAAAUGCGUAGAUAUUAGGAGGAACACCAGUGGCGAAGGCGACUUUCUGGACAGAAACUGACGUUGAGGCACGAAAGUGUGGGGAGCAAACAGGAUUAGAUACC
rnacentral:rRNA from 1 species